rnacentral:rRNA from 1 species
GUCAGGACGAACGCUGGCGGCGUGCCUAACACAUGCAAGUCGAACGGACGAGGGGAGCUUGCUCCCCAAGUUAGUGGCGGACGGGUGAGUAACACGUGAGCAACCUGCCCUUCGGAGGGGGACAACAGCGGGAAACUGCUGCUAAUACCGCAUAACGUAUUCUGGAGGCAUCUCCGGGAUACCAAAGAUUUUAUCGCCGAAGGAUGGGCUCGCGUCUGAUUAGAUAGUUGGCGGGGCAACGGCCCACCAAGUCUACGAUCAGUAGCCGGACUGAGAGGUUGAACGGCCACAUUGGGACUGAGAUACGGCCCAGACUCCUACGGGAGGCAGCAGUGGGGAAUAUUGGGCAAUGGGGGGCAACCCUGACCCAGCAACGCCGCGUGGAGGAAGAAGGCUUUCGGGUUGUAAACUCCUUUGACGAGGGACGAUAGUGACGGUACCUCGAAAACAAGCCACGGCUAACUACGUGCCAGCCGCCGC